rnacentral:rRNA from 1 species
UACAGAGGGUGCAAGCGUUGUUCGGAAUUAUUGGGCGUAAAGGGCGCGUAGGCGGUGCCACAAGUCACCUGUGAAAUCUCCGGGCUUAACUCGGAGCCUGCAGGCGAAACUGUGGUGCUGGAGUGGGGAAGAGGGUCGUGGAAUUCCCAGUGUAGAGGUGAAAUUCGUAGAUAUUGGGAAGAACACCGGUGGCGAAGGCGGCGACCUGGUCCUUGACUGACGCUGAGGCGCGAAAGCGUGGGGAGCAAACAGG